GAUGAACGCUGGCGGCGUGCCUAAUACAUGCAAGUCGAGCGAACAGACGAUGAGCUUGCUCCUCUGACGUUAGCGGCGGACGGGUGAGUAACAUGUGUAUAACCUACCUAUAAGGCUGGGAUAACUUCGGGAAACCGGAGCCAAUACCGGAUAAUAUAUUGAACCGGAUGGUUCAAUAGUGAAAGACGGCUUUGCUGUCACUUAUAGAUGGAUCCGCGCCGCAUUAGCUAGUUGGUAAGGUAACGGCUUACCAAGGCAACGAUGCGUAGCCGACCUGAGAGGAUGAUCGGCCACACUGGAACUGAGACACGGUCCAGACUCCUACGGGAGGCAGCAGUAGGGAAUCUUCCGCAAUGGGCGAAAGCUUGACGGAGCAACGCCGCGUGAGUGAUGAAGGUCUUCGGAUCGUAAAACUCUGUUAUUAGGGAAGAACAAAUGUGUAAGUAACUAUGCACGUCUUGACGGUACCGAAUCAGAAAGCAACGGCUAACUACGUG
rnacentral:rRNA from 1 species